rnacentral:rRNA from 1 species
UACGGGGGGAGCAAGCGUUGUUCGGAUUUACUGGGCGUAAAGGGCGCGUAGGCGGUCAGCACAAGUCAGUUGUGAAAUCUCCGAGCUUAACUCGGAACGGUCAACUGAUACUGUGCGACUAGAGUGCGGAAGGGGCAACUGGAAUUCUCGGUGUAGCGGUGAAAUGCGUAGAUAUCGAGAGGAACACCUGCGGCGAAGGCGGGUUGCUGGGCUGAUACUGACGCUGAGGCGCGAAAGCCAGGGGAGCGAACGGG